GUUCGGAUUGUAGUCUGCAACNCGACUACAUGAAGCUGGAAUCGCCAGUAAUCGCGGAUCAGAAUGCCGCGGUGAAUACGUUCCCGGGUCUUGUACACACCGCCCGUCACACCAUGGGAGUCAGUAACGCCCGAAGCCGGUGACCCAACCUAUUCUGGAGGGAGCCGUCGAAGGCGGGACGGAUGACUGGGGUGAAGUCGUAACAAGGUAAC
rnacentral:rRNA from 1 species